rnacentral:ncRNA from 1 species
CGCCUCGAUCCUGAAAGGGUAACGGCGUCGAGCCGGAGCGAGAAGUCAGCAGAGGCCGUAGUAGUUUUUUUGACGAAGGGC